UACGGAGGGUGCAAGCGUUAUCCGGAUUUACUGGGUUUAAAGGGGGCGUAGGCGGGCAUGUAAGGCAGUGGUGAAAUACCGGAGCUUAACUUCGGAACUGCCAUUGAUACUAUAUGUCUUGAAUAUUGUGGAGGUAAGCGGAAUAUGUCAUGUAGCGGUGAAAUGCAUAGAUAUGACAUAGAACACCGAUUGCGGAGGCAGCUUGCUACGCAAAUAUUGACGCUGAGGCACGAAAGCGUGGGGAGCAAACCGG
rnacentral:rRNA from 1 species